CCCGCUGAACUUAAGCAUAUUACUCAGCGGAGGAAAAGAAAACAACCGUGAUUCCCUCAGUGAGCGGCGAGCGAAGAGGGACCGAACUCGACGCCGAAUCGGGCUUCACAGAGCCUUGAGUUGUGGCGAGCUGUUUCGUGACUGGUGUGGGAUUGGCGAAAUUCAAUGCGCAAAGCAAACCCAUUGCUGAACACAACCCUUCAUGUGAGUAUUGAGCCAAAGAAGGUGACAGCCCAUUGAGCCAAAAACCCGAGCAUCUCACUAAGCAGUACCAAGCGAGUAGCGCUUCUUGGGAGUGAAGCGUCAAUCGGCAGGUAUGUGUCUGCCAAGGUUAAAUACAGAGUAGGAAGACCGAUAUCGAACAAGUAGCGUGAGCGAAAGUUUGAAAAGCACUUUGGAAAGAGAGUGACAUAGAACCUGAAGUCGUGACAAUGACAAUGGAAGCAUCUCCAUUUGAUCGCCAGAACCAGCCCUUCAGCAUCAUCCUGUUCGGACAUUUAGUGCCGGGCGGGUAACGAGUGCAGACCUGGGGCGUGGUGACAUGAGCGGAGCUAAAGUGGGACGCACUGCCUAGCAGCGAGCGCCCUCUUCUCCGUGACCUCGAUGCUGGCGCAAGGCAAUGGGAUGCCUUCACCCGUCUUGAAACACGG
rnacentral:rRNA from 1 species